CGAAUACCGAAGAAUGUUAUCACGGGAGACACACGGCGGGUGCUAACGUCCGUCGUGAAGAGGGAAACAACCCAGACCGCCAGCUAAGGUCCCAAAGUCAUGGUUAAGUGGGAAACGAUGUGGGAAGGCACAGACAGCCAGGAUGUUGGCUUAGAAGCAGCCAUCAUUUAAAGAAAGCGUAAUAGCUCACUGGUCGAGUCGGCCUGCGCGGAAGAUGUAACGGGGCUAAACCAUGCACCGAAGCUGCGGCAGCGACACUAUGUGUUGUUGGGUAGGGGAGCGUUCUGUAAGCCUGCGAAGGUGACCUGUGAGGGUUGCUGGAGGUAUCAGAAGUGCGAAUGCUGACAUAAGUAACGAUAAAGCGGGUGAAAAGCCCGCUCGCCGGAAGACCAAGGGUUCCUGUCCAACGUUAAUCGGGGCAGGGUGAGUCGACCCCUAAGGCGAGGCCGAAAGGCGUAGUCGAUGGGAAACAGGUUAAUAUUCCUGUACUUGGUGUUACUGCGAAGGGGGGACGGAGAAGGCUAUGUUAGCCGGGCGACGGUUGUCCCGGUUUAAGCAUGUAGGCUGGUUGUCCAGGCAAAUCCGGAUAAUCAAGGCUGAGGUGUGAUGACGAGGCACUACGGUGCUGAAGUAACAAAUGCCCUGCUUCCAGGAAAAGCCUCUAAGCAUCAGGUAACAUUAAAUCGUACCCCAAACCGACACAGGUGGUCAGGUAGAGAAUACCAAGGCGCUUGAGAGAACUCGGGUGAAGGAACUAGGCAAAAUGGUGCCGUAACUUCGGGAGAAGGCACGCUGGUGUGUAGGUGAAGUCCCUGCGGAUGGAGCUGAGACCAGUCGAAGAUACCAGCUGGCUGCAACUGUUUAUUAAAAACACAGCACUGUGCAAACACGAAAGUGGACGUAUACGGUGUGACGCCUGCCCGGUGCCGGAAGGUUAAUUGAUGGGGUUAUCCGUAAGGAGAAGCUCUUGAUCGAAGCCCCGGUAAACGGCGGCCGUAACUAUAACGGUCCUAAGGUAGCGAAAUUCCUUGUCGGGUAAGUUCCGACCUGCACGAAUGGCGUAAUGAUGGCCAGGCUGUCUCCACCCGAGACUCAGUGAAAUUGAACUCGCUGUGAAGAUGCAGUGUACCCGCGGCAAGACGGAAAGACCCCGUGAACCUUUACUAUAGCUUGACACUGAACAUUGAGCCUUGAUGUGUAGGAUAGGUGGGAGGCUUUGAAGCGUGGACGCCAGUCUGCGUGGAGCCAACCUUGAAAUACCACCCUUUAAUGUUUGAUGUUCUAACGUUGGCCCCUUACCGGGGUUGCGGACAGUGUCUGGUGGGUAGUUUGACUGGGGCGGUCUCCUCCCAAAGCGUAACGGAGGAGCACGAAGGUUAGCUAAUCCUGGUCGGACAUCAGGAGGUUAGUGCAAUGGCAUAAGCUAGCUUGACUGCGAGCGUGACGGCGCGAGCAGGUGCGAAAGCAGGUCAUAGUGAUCCGGUGGUUCUGAAUGGAAGGGCCAUCGCUCAACGGAUAAAAGGUACUCCGGGGAUAACAGGCUGAUACCGCCCAAGAGUUCAUAUCGACGGCGGUGUUUGGCACCUCGAUGUCGGCUCAUCACAUCCUGGGGCUGAAGUAGGUCCCAAGGGUAUGGCUGUUCGCCAUUUAAAGUGGUACGCGAGCUGGGUUUAGAACGUCGUGAGACAGUUCGGUCCCUAUCUGCCGUGGGCGCUGGAGAAUUGAGGGGGGCUGCUCCUAGUACGAGAGGACCGGAGUGGACGCAUCACUGGUGUUCGGGUUGUCAUGCCAAUGGCACUGCCCGGUAGCUAAAUGCGGAAGAGAUAAGUGCUGAAAGCAUCUAAGCACGAAACUUGCCCCGAGAUGAGUUCUCCCUGAGACUUUAAGUCUCCUGAAGGAACGUUGAAGACGACGACGUUGAUAGGCCGGGUGUGUAAGCGCAGCGAUGCGUUGAGCUAACCGGUACUAAUGAACCGUGAGGCUUAACCUU
rnacentral:rRNA from 1 species